rnacentral:lncRNA from 1 species
GACUAUCAUUGCUUUAGGAAUUUGGUGCGGGGUGAGCACUGCAUUGGCAGGCAGUGGGGGACAGGGUGGUUACUUGCAGAAGGACGUUUGUAUACCAAAUGAAACGCCAAAGGGGAGUUGUGGGAGUGGGAGUGGGGGUGGACAGGACAGCAGAAAUCCAGCCCAGCUCCUCUCACCAAUAUAUCUGCCCCAAAACAAGCCCACUUCAGACCAGCGAGGAGAGGUCAUUUUAUAGAUAACAGAAGACAUCUUAUGUGCUACAGUACUUUGGUUGAGUGGAACUUUAUGGAAGGUAUGGAUUUGAACAAGGUCUUGGAGAACUAGUGUAAUUUGCUGUAAUUCUGCAGAUGAUAAGUAUCAAAGGAAUGAAAUCAGAUGGAUGCGUGUCUCUGAGUGCACUGCAAAAAUGUUCCCUCACACAGCUUGUGAAGCAAUCAACAGGACCAGGGGCUAUUCUGGACUUAGUCCAGGGAAAUGAAAGCAGGUGCUCCCUCACCUGCCAUGUGAUGCCUUCUGCCAUGUUAUAAUGUAGGAAGAAGGCCCCCACCAGAUGCAACCCCUUGAUCUUGGACUUCCCAGCCUCCAGAACCAUGAGCCAAAUAAAUUUUUUUUCUUUAAAAUUACC